rfam:Aliiglaciecola lipolytica E3 DNA, contig: CTG035.
UACUGGGCACCAUCAUAUAGCAUAACCUUUCAGGUUCGUGCUGGAAGGUUAUUUGUCCUUCCAGUGGUAAAGAAUUUUUCUAAACCCCCGGAAGGAAACUUCUGGGGGUUUUUC